UACGUAGGGGGCUAGCGUUAUCCGGAAUUACUGGGCGUAAAGGGUGCGUAGGUGGUUUCUUAAGUCAGAGGUGAAAGGCUACGGCUCAACCGUAGUAAGCCUUUGAGACUGGGAAACUUGAGUGCAGGAGAGGAGAGUGGAAUUCCUAGUGUAGCGGUGAAAUGCGUAGAUAUUAGGAGGAACACCAGUUGCGAAGGCGGCUCUCUGGACUGUAACUGACACUGAGGCACGAAAGCGUGGGGAGCAAACAGG
rnacentral:rRNA from 1 species